UAUAUUUUAGUGUAGGAUGCACAGGAAAUUUUGAUUUUCCAGGUUAUGGUUUAACUCCAUAGAAUAUAA
rnacentral:tRNA from 1 species